rnacentral:tRNA from 1 species
GGGUGAUUAGCUCAGCUGGGAGAGCACCGUCCCUUACAAGGAGGGGGGCGGCGGUUCGAUCCCGUCAUCACCCACCA